GAUGAACGCUGGCGGCGUGCCUAAUACAUGCAAGUCGAGCGAACAGACGAGGAGCUUGCUCCUCUGACGUUAGCGGCGGACGGGUGAGUAACACGUGGAUAACCUACCUAUAAGACUGGGAUAACUUCGGGAAACCGGAUCUAAUACCGGAUAAUAUAUUGAACCGCAUGGUUCAAUAGUGAAAGACGGUUUUGCUGUCACUUAUAGAUGGAUCCGCGCCGCAUUAGCUAGUUGGUAAGGUAACGGCUUACCAAGGCAACGAUGCGUAGCCGACCUGAGAGGAUGAUCGGCCACACUGGAACUGAGACACGGUCCAGACUCCUACGGGAGGCAGCAGUAGGGAAUCUUCCGCAAAGGGCGAAAGCUCGACGGAGCAACGCCGCGUGAGUGAUGAAGGUCUUCGGAUCGUAAAACUCUGUUAUUAGGGAAGAACAAAUGUGUAAGUAACUAUGCACGUCUUGACGGUACCUAAUCAGAAAGCCACGGCUAACUACGUG
rnacentral:rRNA from 1 species